UGGGGAAUAUUGCACAAUGGGCGCAAGCCUGAUGCAGCCAUGCCGCGUGUAUGAAGAAGGCCUUCGGGUUGUAAAGUACUUUCAGUCGGGAGGAAGGUGGUAAGGUUAAUAACCUUAUCAUUUGACGUUACCGACAGAAGAAGCACCGGCUAACUCCGUGCCAGCAGCCGCGGUAAUACGGAGGGUGCAAGCGUUAAUCGGAAUUACUGGGCGUAAAGCGCACGCAGGCGGUUGAUUGAGUCAGAUGUGAAAUCCCCGGGCUUAACCCGGGAAUUGCAUCUGAUACUGGUCAGCUAGAGUCUUGUAGAGGGGGGUAGAAUUCCAUGUGUAGCGGUGAAAUGCGUAGAGAUGUGGAGGAAUACCGGUGGCGAAGGCGGCCCCCUGGACAAAGACUGACGCUCAGGUGCGAAAGCGUGGGGAGCAAACAGG
rnacentral:rRNA from 1 species